UUGCUAGCAGCUAGCUCUCUGCAAUUCCCACAUGGUCGCCCACUAAAGCUAAGCAGGGCUGCGCCUGGUCAGUAUCUAGAUGGGAGACCACAUGGGAAAGCUAGGUUGCUGGGGUU
rnacentral:rRNA from 1 species